GUGUGAGAGCCGGUCUGACUUCCAGCCCUUCAAAGCCUUAGCUGAUGUCCUCAUUUCCAUCAGAUGGCAGGAGAAGAGUGACCGCUGCGAAGGAAACGAAAGGAAAGAAGGAAAAGAAGCGCCCGCCCGCAAUCCCGAAAUUUGUUCACCCGGGAGAAGGAAAGAGACCUGCCACGUAACUCCAGCAAACACAUUUUUCCCCCGGCACAGGAGAAGUUCAAGGCCGGGAAGGCAAUCCGGGUUUCUUCCUCCUCCCGGCGGCGAUCGCUCCUCUCCAGGCUCCAAACGGGAUUCCGCGCCAAGCGGACGGAGGCGCCCCGACCGGAGCGCAAGCGGAGGCAAGACCUGCAGGUCCGCGGAGGCGCAACACCCUCCCCUCCGGCCCCGUCUUGCGGAUCCUCCCCGGGGGGGCCCUCCUUCCUUCGCCCACCGGCCCACCCAUCCCCACCGGCGCGCGCUGGGGGGGGCGCGUCUCUCUGCUUCCCCAGGGAGGGUCCAAGGCAGCGUCAUCGGGGCCGCUCCCUCGCAUAAAGCCACCCCGCCGACCGGCCGCCGCGCCCGUCCGUCCCGCUCCAGUCGCCCGAAGGACGGACAGGCAAGCGCCCCGUGGCGCCCCCCUGCGGAAGAUGCUGCUGGGAAGGCGGCGCGUCUUCUCGGUGGAGCCGCUUUGGAACCGAGGGAGUGCCUGGAGACCAGUCAAGGACUGUGUGGUCUUAACCUCGGUCAGCAUGACCCAGCAGUUACAGGCUCCUCAUCUUGAAUUCUCGUUUAGCCCUGAACUGGAGGGGAAGAUGAGCAGUCAAGUGGAGAGAUGGAGUGGGGCCGAGUCCCCGGCAGAAUCUGUCCCCCACAAGGUAGGCUUCUCGCCUAUGAGUGGGAGGCUCCUGAAAUCCGAAUCCGAGGACUCGGGCAUGGAGAUGGCCAGCAAUGAUCACUCUCUGUCUAGCCCAGCGGGGUCUGAGAGAAGCUUCUUUUUGGACUUCGUGGAUGGUUUCCACCCUUCGGUGGAAGACAGUCCUCCUCCACCACCCUAUGAGAGUUGCCCCAAAGGAGAGGGGCAGGAGGUGCUGCCAGGUCCCACCCAAGAUGGCACGCGCUGCCAGAAUCUCUCUGACAGCAAGGAGGCAGCACAGCCGGCCCUGCAGCCCCAGAAGCGCUGUCCUCGGCCACUGAGUCGGAUGCCCUGUGCCCUGAAGAGCUUGGAAGGGCCCCCCGCUAUGCCCCGGCCAACAAGCAUUGAUGACCUGAUGGAGAUGCUUGGUGGAGGAGAUGGUCAGCCGGCCUUUGACUGCAACUACCCAGAAGAGCCCAGCGUGAAAGACAAGGUGAAGAACGAGCCAUUACUUGCUAUGCCCGGAGAGGGCCUGCUGUACCUGGAACACAUCUGUCAGAUGAUGGAGAAGAUUGCCCAGCUUCAACGGACCAACUUGCAGCUCCAGCAUCGACAAAGAAACAUGGAGCGCUGGGCCCGGGUUCAGGAAUUUGAGAAAAAAGGCUUUUUUGAAGAAACUCCAGAAAGCCCCGGAUUGGCAAGAGUGGAAUCCCAAUGGGAGAAUUCAGCUGCUCCAGAAAUGGAAGAGGCAGUGACGGCAGAGGAGGGACCCAAUUCAUUCAAACCCUGGCACCUCCAUCACUUCCGGGCACGCUCUGCCUCCGAUACCCAUGUGCUACGGAGACCAGCCCAUGCCUCAAGGAGCAAGGCCAGUUGUUCUAGGAAAGCAGCCCUGAAUGCGGUCAGCUCACCCAGCGCCUUAGAUCAACUGGAUGGGGGUUCUCGUACUUUGCCACCCGGCAUGAAACUCAAGAGCGAACACUCACGCUGGUGCAGAAUCAAAGGGCUUUUCAACAGGAUCACGAGGAGGUCUGUGCGGACCAAUGAGCCAACCUCAUGUGGUGAACCUGCCCCCAGCAACAAACACAGCAGAGCAGAUGUUGUGAAGGACAGACAGGAAUCCCAUCGCCGAUGGCGUUUUCUGCCCAGUCUAGGGCCACAGAAACACCGAUCAAAACAACUCUCCAUGCAGUGAACUCCUGGUUUGCCUGGCGGAGACGAUCAAUGUGCAGGCUGGUGCUGUCACCUGCAUUGACUGCCAUCCCUCCUAGGCCCCUCAGGAUGUCUUCUUCCGGAUUUGUUGAGGGUUGUGGAGUUUGAAUACCCACUAGCGGAAGAGGAGACCUUAUGACUACAGCUGAGACACGCCAGCCCUACUUGUUUCUGUGAGUGGGAAAAUGGCAGGUACACAGUCUUCUCCCCCUAGCAAAACAGUGGAAGUGGCCACUUACCUCUACUAGACUUUUAAAAAUGAAAUUUCUUUGGUCUCCUGUGGAUCCAGUGGGUCCUUGAAAACCUUGGCUCUGAAAACUGGGAUCAAGCCUAGUCUCAUUUUUUUUUGUGCUUCCCUGGCUCUGAAGAAAUACCCUCCUAAGCAGGAUUUCCAGUUACAUCUUGCACACAUUUUGCACGCAAACCACAGAUUCCCUAUGGCUGGCGACCCUUAAUCUUGAGGGGACCUGCUAGCUGUCCAUUGUUUUCAGCAGCAUUUCGUGAGCAGAGUUGGCCGAAAGUGAUCUGGCAAACCACAUUUCAGGACGGAACCUGUUGCAGCAACAUCCAGUAACAGCUGUUAGAGAGAGCUGAGUCUCUGUAUGUUAAAACCACUCCUUCCUGUACUGUUUGCAACGAGCGAGCCAGCCCUUCUAACUCUGGUGCUGAACCUUGUUGGUUUGUCCUCACACACUUCACUUUUUAAUGCACUGUGUUUGGGACACAUCUCCCUAAGGCUUGUCCUCUGGAGGAAACUGGAUUUAAGCCUGGCCUACAGAUGCCAGUCCCCAAAGAUGUGGUCAGUUGGCAUCCCCACUGGCUUUUAUUUGGGACAAAAGUAGAUUGCCCCAUCUCCCACGUGUCUCUGUCCUCCAGAGAUCUGAGCCUCCUCUCACAUUAGCGGGUUAAGACUGGCAGCCAUAAAACACUGAUGUGAACCAUUAGCUGGCAAAGAAGAGGCCUCUGCAUCUUCUGACGCCUGGUCUCCACCUGGAAAUCCCUGCAGAAUGUGAAAUAACUUAAUAACUUGUUGAUUGGUUGCUUCCCACCCCUCACACACACCCCAUUGAACAAUGCAUUGGCAUUCCUCUGUUGUUGCUUUUUUUAAAAAAGGUUUUUGCAACUGUAUAUCUUCACAGGUAGAGUGAAUUCUGUUUAUUUAUAUGGCCUCACAGCCACGUUUAUGUGUAUAUAGUUAAAAAUGUAUAUAUUCGUAAGAUUUCAAAAAGAGGAAAAUAAAACUUUUUUGCUGACUUUUAAAACA
ensembl:lncRNA chromosome unknown C8orf58 homolog